rnacentral:lncRNA from 1 species
GUCAGAUCCAGCUUUUUCUACCACCCCCAGCUAGUGAGCACAGUAGGUACAGAUAUCACACGUGAUUAGCAAAUAGUAAUAUGCUAAGAAUUUCAAUUAAAGUAUGUAAAUAUUCAAACAACCUGGGGUGACUUCUUAUCUCUUGUUAGUAAAUUAGAAGAGUUCAUUAUAUGCCUGAAAAAUAUAUGAAUUCUCUUUCAGGUAAGAAUUAGAAAAUAUUCCCCUCCCAAACUCUCCAUUCAAGCAUCUGCAUUCUCUGUGUAUAUACAGAUAUACAUUCUCUGUAUAUCUGUGUUUUUUAAGCUGCCGUAAAAGAUCCUCCAGCUUCUAUAUUUGCAGAGUGAAAAGUGACACACAAUUUUUAAAAAAUUGGGGGGGGGGUGUUUAAUACUCUUUCUCCACCAUAUGCUAUAGAUAAAGAUGAGUUCUCUGUAGACGUAUAAUUUUUUUGCUGGAAAAUAAAAACAAUGAAAUGUUAAUUUUGACAUCAUCCUGGUUUUUCAGUUAUUAUAUGAGUGUAAGCUCUGCUGUACUGUACUGAGGAAGUGGCAGUGACAGGCUUGAAGCACUGAAUUGAUUGGUAAAAGAUUAGUGAUAAAUGAAUUUAUUAAUGUGAGCAUUUUUACAGUUUAAUAGAAAGAGACAGGGUGUUGAAUUUUUAACAGAGGUGUCUUUUAAUCAAAAUGUUAAUUAGUCAUUGACUUUAAAUAGUUUUACAGAAACAAGCAGAUCUAUUUAAAUAGUCUGACUGAAGUAUAAUAAUAAUAAAAUUGCAAAUAUUUUAUUCGUAUCCCGUCCUGGACCAUGUUUUGAAGGGUACACAUCCUGAAAACUAGCCUUUCUAGCUGCAUAUGGGCAAGAAAGACUCAGAAGUAUGUAAGUAUAUUUCCAUAGAGAUAAGAAGGAGUGGGGUGAUUAAUUUUGAAACCCAGCUCCCCUUUCGUCUUUCCAGCCUUUUGUAGUUCAGUUCUUUCCAACCAUCUAUUUGUGGGUGAGAAUAUAGAUAUUCUGUAUGUAUCCUGCUAGAUCAGUGGAAAAAGAUUAAGGGAUGUUUUCAAGAAUUAUUUUAGCUGGAACAUCCAGGGCCUUUCCAAGGUAUCUUGCUGCCUGAGCUAGAACAGUCAAUAGUGCACCUCAUCGUCAAGGUGCACAGUACCCUGAGCUGAAGAAGAAAUGCAAAAAUAAUAAAUCAAAUACCAUAUUUUUCCAUGUAUAACAUGCCCCAAUGUAUAAGACGACCCCUAUUUUUUUGGACCAGAACAAAAAAAUUGCCCAAAGUUGUUGGGCCUCUUUUGGAGGGCAUCGCCACGGCCACCAAUCAUUGUCUACACACACCAUUGCCACCAAAAGCCCACCUGCACACUCGAUGCAACCACACCAGAUUGAAUGCACGCCUCACUGCUGCUGGUAAAUAGCCCGCCCAAUUGCUGCAGCCGCAGCCAAUCAUCAGCAGGCCUUGCCGCAGCAACCAUUCACACGCCCAAUCACUGCUGCCAAUCUCCUGCUGGCUGCUGCCACCAAUCACCCACCCCCCCCCGCCCCUGCUAUCCGUGUAUAAGACAACUCACAAUUUUUGCCUAGUACUUCUAAUGAAAAAAUAUCAUCUUAUACACAGAAAAAUACAGUAACUAAGUUUGCUGCUUUUUCAUGAUAUCCAAAACCACCUGCCCUGUGGAGAUGCCUCACUCCUGUCCAAUGGUUGGGCCAGCCAUGGGAACACUUCUCCCUUUGUCUCUUGUGCCCUAGCUACAGAGUAGGAAGGAGGGAGGGAAUGACUUUUGCUGGUGCUGACUGUAGAGAAUUGGUUAAUGUCACCAGCUUCUCCAGAGGCCUAAUGGUCUGGAAAAAGCUGAAAGUGAGCUUUAUGCAACUGAGAGGGACAGGAGAUGAUGAAAAGGAUUAUUACAGGCCUUGACUGUGACAGGAAAUGAGUAGCUCCUUCUCCCAGACUCUGCUUUUCGACUUUCCUCUCAAGAGUCUUCACCUUCCAUUUGGGUGGGAGAUGUGGAGAGUCUGAGGCUGCACACACACCAGACACCUAAAGCACACCACUUCCCUCAAAGAAUCCUGGGAACUGUAGUUUACAGCUUCACAGGGCUACAGUUCCUGGUGCUCUAAGCAAACUGCAAUUCCCAGGAUUCUUUGGGGGAAGUCAUCAAAAUUUUAUUGUAUAUACGGUCUCAGGAAGGAAAAAAGAGUGAGAGCUGUCCCCAGGAGUAGUCAGUUCAUAGUUACCACUUCUUUUUUGCAGUGAUGGUCAUGGGUUACUCAUAGCAAGCACCUUUUAUUCCACAGGGCAUUGGAAGACUUUGGGCUCUCAAAUUUCAGUAGCACACUGUGUGAUGCUAAAAUUUGGUGCCCUCUGCCUCUCGUGCUCCAUUCCACAACACUGUUGUGGUGUCCCCUGCAGCACAGCACCAAGUGCAGCCAAAGCCAGUGCAGUUAUUCUAAAACCAUCUCUGCUCAGGGACACCCUUCUAUCAAGAGCUAGAAACAUAUUCCCCCCCCCCACACACCUCUUAAGUGAAAGCUGGGAAUCUAGGGGUUGUGGUUCAUAUGGGGAGAAGGCAAGUACCCAUCCCAGACCACAAAUGUCCUGUUUUGCCAAUCUUUUGCUCUUUUCUUUUCCUUUUAUUUUGAAAUAGGCAGCCUGGAACAGGUCAGAGGGGAAGGGAGCACAGUGGCAGCAGGCAGCUGAUCAAAUGCCUUCAACAGGGCAAGUGCUUAUGGAAAAUGCCUUAUUUACCAAAUUGUUUAUAGCAUUUCAUACUUCACACUUAUCACUGACUUGUUCUUGGAAAUGCUAACACCUUCCAGCUCCCAUUAUUCUUAUCAUCUGCCUCCUGGCUGGCAGGGGUUUUGCAGUUGGGCAGCUAAAGGGGCAAAAUGAUAGGGAAAGGCAAAAUGGGAGGUAACCAUGAAAUACCAACUUGGAAUGUAAAUCAGAUCAAUCAGAGAGGCUUUCUUCCUAUUCUUUGUGUCAGUCUUUUUGUUUUAAGCUGUGCUAGUCUGGAGACAUUCCCAGUAAGGUUUCCCUGAGAAUGUUUCCCAGAGAAUGAGAAUGACAGAAAAGCAGUUAGACACACAUAAAUGAGGAAUAUGUUAAGGGUAGACAAGGAUCAGAAAAUGGUUUUGGAGAAAUUGAUUAAUUGGAGCUGUGAGAAAGGGGUGUGUGUGUGUGUGUGAGAGAGAGAGAGAGAGAGAGAGAGAGAGAGAGAUAUUCUAGGAUCAGAUGACUCCCCUGGGAAAACCGCUCAGUAGGCCCUGGCCAAAAUCCUUUGGAGGUUUCUUGCUCUCAACUGCUGCCGUUGCGGUUGUUUUUAAAGCCAGAGGGGAAGCAGCAGGCAUGUCUCAGAAGUAAUUAAUCAUGUAUAGCGAAGAAGAGAUUCUUCAGAGAGAGCACACCAGAUUAGUUCUGCCUUUCCCCCUUUUGCAACUUUCCUUUCCCUCUCCCUCCUGCCCUGUUUUGAUUGACUUGCUAGCUUUCCUGCUCCUUAUUUUUGAAUACGGUGGGGAGAGGGGGGUUAGGUAUAGUAAUUCAUCCACUCAGGUGUUUCUCUUUUCUUACACAGAUAUAAGCAGUAUUUCUAGACUUUGGUGUUGAAUACAUGUGAGAAAAGCAGCGGAUAGAAUGGUGGAGGGUUAGUGCAGCGUAGAGGUGAAGAGCAUGAGCUGUGGUUUGGGUGUGCCCCUGAUUCAAGUCUCAGCUUGCUAUGAUCUCUCUGGCAGGGAAGCCACAAUCUCUCUCAUCCUAUAAUCUAUAUGCCAGCGUGUGGUUCUGCUGGGAGUUUGCUGCAGAAAGAGCUGAGUGCAAGGCUGCUUCCCUGAGAGUGAAUUGGGACCCUUGAGUGUACCAAUUCGAAUGCCCAGCCUCCCCACCCCAACCCCUUUUGAAGGACAUGGUGGUGGAGUGUUCAAGCAUUUGAAAGAAAACCCAAAAGGUCGUAAUGAAUAGUGGUUCUCUUACCAGAACCACUGCAGGUGCUCUGCUGCAGGUAAGUUCCCACCAUGUCCCAGAGAAGGAAAGAGGGAAGAGAGCUGCUUUGGUUGGUGAAUACCAGGUGCUCUGCAUCACCUGUUGUCACUGUUGGCCAAACGCUCAUGAUUCUUUCUCUUUUUUUGCACAGGGCAGCAGUGUGGGCUGUAUAUCGGGUGAGUCAGUAUUGUGUCCAUGAUUGCUAAGGGGAGAAUGUGGAGCUAGGCUGGAGCACGGAAAAUGGAACAGCACUUAGGUGAUACCACAGUUACUCAACAUUUCCUGCUGAGCACCAGUUGCAGCUCCUACACAUUGCUGCCCUCCUACAAUGCCCCUCAUCUCUCCACAGGCGACAAGGCAGUUAUUUGACAUUCACAGAGGCAAAGAUGACUCCUCAGUGCCAUGCAGAUUACAACUCAGGCCCACAGCAACUGUAGCGACCAGUAGGCAGCUAGCCAUUCUGUGUGGGGCUGCCAACUUUGUGUUCUGUCAGGGCUUUCAGAGUGCAUGAUGGGCAGUACUGUAAGUAACAGAGGAAGCUGUACCAAGUUGGAGGUGCUACCGUGUAGACAGCUGCUUCUGCUGAUCUUCUAUUUGCAUAUAGGUAUUAAAGCCUCAGGUCAAGUUGAGCAUUCAUCCUGCUUGUAUAUUUGGACCUGGGGGGCAUGUCAAGUGAUGGAUAUCUCAAGCCAUCCCAGUACUUUGCAAAAAACUUUCUCUCGUCACAUAUACACUAGUACUGGUGUGUUAACUGCAGUGUGGUUAGCAUUGUCUUCUCCUGGAAAGCUUUUCAAUUCUAUAUUCUACUCUACUUGGUCAUGGGGAAUCUGAGCAGGGCAAUCAAUACCUUCUAGUUUUGUGACAUGCUUGUGCCUUGUAUGCAUACCCCCCAACAUUUCUCCAAUGAAAAUAGGG